rnacentral:rRNA from 1 species
GUUAAGCGACUAAGCGUACACGGUGGAUGCCCUGGCAGUCAGAGGCGAUGAAGGACGUGCUAAUCUGCGAUAAGCGUCGGUAAGGUGAUAUGAACCGUUAUAACCGGCGAUUUCCGAAUGGGGAAACCCAGUGUGUUUCGACACACUAUCAUUAACUGAAUCCAUAGGUUAAUGAGGCGAACCGGGGGAACUGAAACAUCUAAGUACCCCGAGGAAAAGAAAUCAACCGAGAUUCCCCCAGUAGCGGCGAGCGAACGGGGAGCAGCCCAGAGUCUGAAUCAGUGUGUGUGUUAGUGGAAGCGUCUGGAAAGGCGCGCGAUACAGGGUGACAGCCCCGUACACAAAAAUGCACAUACUGUGAGCUCGAUGAGUAGGGCGGGACACGUGGUAUCCUGUCUGAAUAUGGGGGGACCAUCCUCCAAGGCUAAAUACUCCUGACUGACCGAUAGUGAACCAGUACCGUGAGGGAAAGGCGAAAAGAACCCCGGCGAGGGGAGUGAAAAAGAACCUGAAACCGUGUACGUACAAGCAGUGGGAGCACGCUUAGGCGUGUGACUGCGUACCUUUUGUAUAAUGGGUCAGCGACUUAUAUUCUGUAGCAAGGUUAACCGAAUAGGGGAGCCGAAGGGAAACCGAGUCUUAACUGGGCGUUAAGUUGCAGGGUAUAGACCCGAAACCCGGUGAUCUAGCCAUGGGCAGGUUGAAGGUUGGGUAACACUAACUGGAGGACCGAACCGACUAAUGUUGAAAAAUUAGCGGAUGACUUGUGGCUGGGGGUGAAAGGCCAAUCAAACCGGGAGAUAGCUGGUUCUCCCCGAAAGCUAUUUAGGUAGCGCCUCGUGAAUUCAUCUCCGGGGGUAGAGCACUGUUUCGGCAAGGGGGUCAUCCCGACUUACCAACCCGAUGCAAACUGCGAAUACCGGAGAAUGUUAUCACGGGAGACACACGGCGGGUGCUAACGUCCGUCGUGAAGAGGGAAACAACCCAGACCGCCAGCUAAGGUCCCAAAGUCAUGGUUAAGUGGGAAACGAUGUGGGAAGGCCCAGACAGCCAGGAUGUUGGCUUAGAAGCAGCCAUCAUUUAAAGAAAGCGUAAUAGCUCACUGGUCGAGUCGGCCUGCGCGGAAGAUGUAACGGGGCUA